UGCGCGGUCCCGGUGCAGCCUGCUCUGCCUCGGGCCGCAGGGGACCCCAGCCGGGUCCCACUGCUCCCAUCCUAGCGGAUGGGCCCCGGCCUCACUCUCUCGCGCCGAGCCCCCUUCUUGCCGGGAAGUUCGUCCGAGAGUCUAAUCUCGGUGCCUUCCAGCUGCGCCACAGAGGCGGGGUCGGAGUAGGAGGCGGCCCUGAAAUGGGGAAGCUGGGCGCGCCCACUCCCCAACUAGCUGCAGAAAUGCUUCCACCUGCUCCCCUGAGCGACCCCAGCUGAGAGACCGAACCCCCGUACCCCAGCCGCGCUCACCACCCCCACCCUCUGGCCUGAGCUGCUUUGAUCUGAGGGUCACCUCGGCUGAAUGACAACAACGGAGCCUGGAGGAAACCUGGAGUUUGCAGGGCAAGAGAGACCAAGCACCAUCACUGAGCAGGUGCACCAUCUGGGCAGGUGAACAUCUCUGCCUGCAGUGCCUCUCCGGCCCCACCUCACGCCCCGCCGAUACUCAGCCGCCAGAUGGAGACGGACAGCAAAGACGAAGUCUCUUUGCCGCCUGGCUCAGCAAAGAGACUCAACGUUUUCUUUUCCAUUUCGGAAAGAUUACUGGAAGUCUGGACGAGUAAAGAGAGAUGAAACAGG